rnacentral:rRNA from 1 species
CUACGGGAGGCAGCAGUCGAGAAUCUUCCGCAAUGGACGAAAGUCUGACGGAGCGACGCCGCGUGCGGGAUGAAGGCCUUCGGGUUGUAAACCGCUGUCAGUGGGGAGGAAAGGCAUCAGGGUUCUCCCUGGUGUUUGACCGAUCCGCAGAGGAAGCGCAGGCUAAGUUCGUGCCAGCAGCCGCGGUAACACGAACUGCGCGAACGUUAUUCGGAAUCACUGGGCUUAAAGAGUUCGUAGGCGGCCUUUCAAGUCGGGUGUGAAAUCCCUCGGCUCAACCGAGGAAUUGCGCCUGAUACUGUUGUGCGUGAGGGGGAUAGGUGUGAGCGGAACGGAUGGUUGAGCGGUGAAAUGCGUUGAUAUCAUCAGGAACACCGGUGGCGAAGGCGUCUCCAUGGUUCGCUUCUGACGCGGAGCAACGAAAGCUAGGGGAGCGAACGGGAUUAGAUACCCUUGUAGUC